CCUACGGGAGGCAGCAGUAGGGAAUAUUGCUCAAUGGGGGAAACCCUGAAGCAGCAACGCCGCGUGGAGGAUGAAGGUUUUCGGAUUGUAAACUCCUUUUGUUAGAGAAGAUAAUGACGGUAUCUAACGAAUAAGCACCGGCUAACUCCGUGCCAGCAGCCGCGGUAAUACGGAGGGUGCAAGCGUUACUCGGCAUCACUGGGCGUAAAGAGCGCGUAGGCGGGAUAGCAAGUCAGAUGUGAAAUCCUAGGGCUUAACCAUAGAACUGCAUUUGAAACUGUUAUUCUAGAGUAUGGGAGAGGUAGGUGGAAUUCUUGGUGUAGGGGUAAAAUCCGUAGAGAUCAAGAGGAAUACUCAUUGCGAAGGCGACCUGCUAGAACAUAACUGACGCUGAUGCGCGAAAGCGUGGGGAGCAAACAGGAUUAGAUACCCGGGUAGUC
rnacentral:rRNA from 1 species